rnacentral:rRNA from 1 species
CAGUAGCCGCGGGAAAACGUAGGUGGCAAGCGUUGUCCGGAAUUAUUGGGCGUAAAGGGCUCGCAGGCGGUUUCUUAAGUCUGAUGUGAAAGCCCCCGGCUCAACCGGGGAGGGUCAUUGGAAACUGGGAAACUUGAGUGCAGAAGAGGAGAGUGGAAUUCCACGUGUAGCGGUGAAAUGCGUAGAGAUGUGGAGGAACACCAGUGGCGAAGGCGACUCUCUGGUCUGUAACUGACGCUGAGGAGCGAAAGCGUGGGGAGCGAACAGGAUUAGAUACCCGUGUAGUCCCUGUCCUUAUACA